ensembl:lncRNA
GUAAACUCUCGCUGUGGCAGUUCUACAGCUCCAGUGGCUGUGGGCGGCAUGUGGUGGGCAGGCCAGGGGGAGAGGGUUAAUGAGCUGUGGAGUUCUCUCUGUUGGACUCAUGGAGGCUGAUGUGAAAUCUUCGCUCAGCUAGUCUUGAGUGGCAAAAAGUGAUUCCUUUUUCAUUUUGGGUCUGAAGGAUUUGUUGUGUGUUGUAAACUGCCUACCAUUGUAAGUUUCUGAAAAGCCUGUAUCACAAGAACAACAGAAAUACCUGAACCCAGAUGAAUCCUGCCGCCAAGCAUGUUGAGACAUAUACAUCAUUAUAUGACAAGGAUACGUAUAAAACUGAUGUUGGAAUUUGGUCUUAAGUUAGUUGUUUGUUUUCUUAUUUAUUCCCCUGUUAUUUACCGAUGAGACAGAGUAUUUUAAUCCUUUCCUCUUCCCAGUUAAAGUUAACUCUUUCUUCUGUUAUUUACAAUUGGAAAUUGUGACACUUCCUGUUUUCCUUUCAAAUGGGAAAAUUGGUGGAAAUAUUUUAUAAGCUGUGAUAUGUUGUUAUUUUUUAAACUUCCAUGAUUUAUAAGGUUUUUAAAAUUGUAUUUGGCACUAUUUACAAAAAGGAUUUUUUCAGUGCUUAUUGACUCUGUUUCUGGUAGUAUUUCAUCCAGAAGAUGUCCCUGUCCAGGGCAUAUGUCUAUAAGAAGCAAGUUAUUCCUUCUGCUUGCAUUGCUGCAUGCUUUGAAGAACGGGCUCUAAAGCUACCAGC